rnacentral:rRNA from 1 species
AGUGAACGCUGGCGGUAGGCCUAACACAUGCAAGUCGAACGGCAGCACAGUAAGAGCUUGCUCUUACGGGUGGCGAGUGGCGGACGGGUGAGGAAUACAUCGGAAUCUACUUUUUCGUGGGGGAUAACGUAGGGAAACUUACGCUAAUACCGCAUACGACCUACGGGUGAAAGCAGGGGAUCUUCGGACCUUGCGCGAUUGAAUGAGCCGAUGUCGGAUUAGCUAGUUGGCGGGGUAAAGGCCCACCAAGGCGACGAUCCGUAUCUGGUCUGAGAGGAUGAUCAGCCACACUGGAACUGAGACACGGUCCAGACUCCUACGGGAGGCAGCAGUGGGGAAUAUUGGACAAUGGGCGCAAGCCUGAUCCAGCCAUGCCGCGUGGGUGAAGAAGGCCUUCGGGUUGUAAAGCCCUUUUGUUGGGAAAGAAAAGCAGCAGGUUAAUACCCCGCUGUUCUGACGGUACCCAAAGAAUAAGCACCGGCUAACUUCGU